rnacentral:rRNA from 1 species
GGUAGUGGGGGAUAACGUUCGGAAACGGACGCUAAUACCGCAUACGUCCUACGGGAGAAAGCAGGGGACCUUCGGGCCUUGCGCUAUCAGAUGAGCCUAGGUCGGAUUAGCUAGUUGGUGAGGUAAUGGCUCACCAAGGCGACGAUCCGUAACUGGUCUGAGAGGAUGAUCAGUCACACUGGAACUGAGACACGGUCCAGACUCCUACGGGAGGCAGCAGUGGGGAAUAUUGCACAAUGGGCGAAAGCCUGAUCCAGCCAUGCCGCGUGUGUGAAGAAGGUCUUCGGAUUGUAAAGCACUUUAAGUUGGGAGGAAGGGCAGUUACCUAAUACGUGAUUGUUUUGACGUUACCGACAGAAUAAGCACCGGCUAACUCUGUGCC